rnacentral:rRNA from 1 species
UACCUUGAUGGCGACCGGCGCACGGGUGAGUAACACGUAUCCAACCUGCCGAUGACUCGGGGAUAGCCUUUCGAAAGAAAGAUUAAUACCCGAUGGCAUAGUUCUUCCGCAUGGUAGAACUAUUAAAGAAUUUCGGUCAUCGAUGGGGAUGCGUUCCAUUAGGUUGUUGGCGGGGUAACGGCCCACCAAGCCUUCGAUGGAUAGGGGUUCUGAGAGGAAGGUCCCCCACAUUGGAACUGAGACACGGUCCAA